rnacentral:rRNA from 1 species
CCUACGGGAGGCAGCAGUGAGGAAUAUUGGUCAAUGGCCGGAAGGCUGAACCAGCCAUGCCGCGUGAAGGUCAGUGCCCUAUGGGCGUUAAACUUCUUUUGUGCGGGAGCAAUAAUGGUCACGUGUGGCCAGACGAGAGUACCGUACGAAUAAGCAUCGGCUAACUCCGUGCCAGCAGCCGCGGUAAUACGGGGGAUGCAAGCGUUAUCCGGAUUUAUUGGGGUUAAAGGGUGCGUAGGCUGUGAGGUAAGUCAGCGGUGAAAUGCCCCCGCGCAAAGGGGUGAAGUGCCAUUGAUACUGCCUUGCUGGAAUGCGGAUGCCGUGGGAGGAAUGUGUGGUGUAGCGGUGAAAUGCAGAGAUAUCACACAGAACACCGAUUGCGAAGGCAUCUCACGAAUCCGCGAUUGACGCUGAUGCACGAAAGCGUGGGUAUCAAACAGGAUUAGAUACCCCUGUAGUC